rnacentral:rRNA from 1 species
UACGUAGGUGGCAAGCGUUGUCCGGAUUUACUGGGCGUAAAGAGCGCGCAGGCGGCUGGUCAAGUCCGAUGUGAAAUCUCCCGGCUUAACUGGGAAACUGCAUCGGAAACUGAUCGGCUUGAAGGUGGGAGAGGGUAGUGGAAUUCCCGGUGUAGUGGUGAAAUGCGCAGAUAUCAGGAGGAACACCGGUGGCGAAGGCGGAUCUCUGGGCCAUUACUGACGCUGAGGAGCGAAAGCGUGGGGAGCGAACAGG